rnacentral:rRNA from 1 species
AAGUCGAGCGAGACCUUCGGGUCUAGCGGCGGACGGGUGAGUAACGCGUGGGAAUGUGCCCUUCUCUACGGAAUAGUCCCGGGAAACUGGGUUUAAUACCGUAUACGCCCUUCGGGGGAAAGAUUUAUCGGAGAAGGAUCAGCCCGCGUCUGAUUAGGUAGUUGGUGGGGUAAUGGCCUACCAAGCCUACGAUCAGUAGCUGGUUUUAGAGGAUGAUCAGCCACACUGGGACUGAGACACGGCCCAGACUCCUACGGGAGGCAGCAGUGGGGAAUCUUAGACAAUGGGCGCAAGCCUGAUCUAGCCAUGCCGCGUGAGUGAUGAAGGCCUUAGGGUCGUAAAACUCUUUCGCCAGGGAUGAUAAUGACAGUACCUGGUAAAGAAGCCCCGGCUAACUCCGUGCCAGCAGCCGCGGUAAUACGGAGGGGGCUAGCGUUGUUCGGAAUUACUGGGCGUAAAGCGCGCGUAGGCGGACUAUUAAGUCAGGGGUGAAAU